rnacentral:rRNA from 1 species
GAUGAACGCUGGCGGCGUGCCUAAUACAUGCAAGUCGAGCGGUAAGGCUUUCACAGUUCCCAUCUCUCUCAUUUAUUUGAGGAAUAGAGGUGUGAAGCGUGAAAGUACACGAGCGGCGGACGGCUGAGUAACACGUAGGAACCUACCCAAACUGAGGGAUAACUGCUCGAAAGAGUAGCUAAUACCGCAUACCUUCUUCGGAAGAAAGCUACGGCGGUUUGGGAAGGGCCNGCGUAAGAUUAGCUUGUUGGUGAGGUAACGGCUCACCAAGGCGACGAUCUUUAGCUGGUCUGAGAGGAUGAUCAGCCAGAC